rnacentral:rRNA from 1 species
CGGCAGCACGGGGGCAACCCUGGUGGCGAGUGGCGAACGGGUGAGUAACAUAUCGGAACGUGCCCUGGAGUGGGGGAUAACUAGUCGAAAGACUAGCUAAUACCGCAUACGAUCUACGGAUGAAAGUGGGGGACCGCAAGGCCUCAUGCUCGUGGAGCGGCCGAUAUCUGAUUAGCUAGUUGGUGGGGUAAAGGCCUACCAAGGCAUCGAUCAGUAGCUGGUCUGAGAGGACGACCAGCCACACUGGGACUGAGACACGGCCCAGACUCCUACGGGAGGCAGCAGUGGGGAAUUUUGGACAAUGGGCGCAAGCCUGAUCCAGCAAUGCCGCGUGAGUGAAGAAGGCCUUCGGGUUGUAAAGCUCUUUUGUCAGGGAAGAAACGGCGGGGACUAAUAUUUCCUGCUAAUGACGGUACCUGAAGAAUAAGCACCGGCUAACUACGUGCCAGCAGCCGCGGUAAUACGUAGGGUGCAAGCGUUAAUCGGAAUUACUGGGCGUAAAGCGUGCGCAGGCGGUUGUGUAAGUUUGACGUGAAAUCCCCGGGCUUAACCUGGGAAUGGCGUUGAAGACUGCACGGCUAGAGUGUGUCAGAGGGGGGUAGAAUUCCACGUGUAGCAGUGAAAUGCGUAGAGAUGUGGAGGAAUACCGAUGGCGAAGGCAGCCCCCUGGGAUAACACUGACGCUCAUGCAC